rnacentral:rRNA from 1 species
ACUCAAAUGAAUAGACGGGGACCCGCACAAGCGGUGGAUGAUGUGGAUUAAUUCGAUGCAACGCGAAUAACCUUACCUACCCUUGACAUGUACGGAACCCUGCAGAGAUGUGGGGGUGCUUGAAAGAGAGCCGUAACACAGGUGCUGCAUGGCUGUCGUCAGCUCGUGUCGUGAGAUGUUGGGUUAAGUCCCGCAACGAGCGCAACCCUUGUCCCUAGUUGCUACGCAAGGGCACUCUAGGGAGACUGCCGGUGACAAACCGGAGGAAGGUGGGGAUGACGUCAAGUCCUCAUGGCCCUUAUGGGUAGGGCUUCACACGUCAUACAAUGGCCGGUACAGAGGGUUGCCAAAGCGCGAGCUGGAGCCAAUCCCCAUAAAAGCCGGUCGUAGUCCGGAUUGCAGUCUGCAACUCGACUGCAUGAAGUCGGAAUCGCUAGUAAUCGCGGAUCAGCAUGUCGCGGUGAAUACGUUCCCGGGUCUUGUACACACCGCCCGU